rnacentral:rRNA from 1 species
AAGGAUGGAUGAAAACUCAAACCGGCGCAGCUCCGCGCCAAGGGAGUGUAGAGACGCGAGCCCUGCAACGGGUUCAGUGGCGUGGGGUGCUGCCGCACACCAUGUGGAUUAUAACACGACUCUCGGCAAUGGAUAUCUCGGCUCUCGCAUCGAUGAAGAGCGCAGCGAAAUGCGAUACGUGGUGCGAAUUGCAGAAUCCCGCGAACCAUCGAGUCUUUGAACGCAAGUUGCGCCCGAGGCCAACCGGCCGAGGGCACGUCCGCCUGGGCGUCAAGC